UCGAAAUAAAUUACAUAAUAAAUCCACUACAUACAAGCACUCCUGUUUAAAAAAAACAUUCCCUGCACAAAGCGGUCGCCAUUCUGUCCAUAAAAGGAAUGAAUUUCAACUCGCGCCAUGAAAGCUGAAGAUAAAUACUUCAUCUCUGACCCACAUAAUGGCGAUAUUUCAGGCGGAGCUCUGGACUUGUCACAAACCGCUCCUCGGCCGAGCUGUCUCCGGUACAGCUCGAGCUAUUAGAGCCCCGUCGCCUUCCAUCUUCCUGCGCCAGAAGCAGCCUCCUCCCGCGUCUCCAUCGAUCUCCAUCGAGGAAGGCGAGUAUCGGGGAAAGCUUGCGACACGCGCCGCGCGAGGGAGGAGGGCAACGGCCAGCGGACAAAUUUAAAGGAGUGCCUUGAGGUGGGAUUUUGCCCUUUCCUUUACCUAAUUCGACACUCCCACCACUUACCAUCACUUCCACCGGGACCUUCUCCUCAGUUCCUCAGUCUCCCAGCUCUCAUUCAUCAUCAGCUUCACUUUAUCAACCCCCACCAACCCAAUUCCCCUUAAUCUGCACCUUCCACUUGUCCUUGCUGUCUUUAAGCUACGGAGGCCAUGGCGGUGCCUUCAGCUCAUGAGUUUCACUGGCAGAGCCUGGCACGACUGUCCAGCGGCCGUGUCUACCACACGCUAUCUGAGGUUGGAGGGCAGAUGUACAUGCUGGGGGGCUGCGAUGCUGCAGGGAGGCCGUGCCCCACUGUGGAACUGUACUCCCCGGAGGGGGACCGAUGGAUAAGCCUGCCCUCUAUGCCCACUCCACGUGCUGGUGCCGCUGUGGCAGCAUUUGGAAAGCAGAUCCUGGUGGUUGGAGGAGUGGGGGAGGACCAGAGUCCAUUGAAGGUGGUGGAAAUAUAUAACACAGAAGAAGGAAGGUGGAGGAAGAGGAGUCCCCUUCGAGAGGCCCUGAUGGGUGUAUCCAUCACUGUGAAAGAUGGUCGUGCUCUGGCUGUGGGAGGAAUGGGCGCUGACCUGCUCCCGCGUAACAUCCUUCAGCAGUAUGACUUUCGAAAGGAUGUGUGGGCUCUACUUCCUCCCAUGCCGACACCACGCUAUGAUGCCAACACAAAUUUACUAGACAACAAACUCUAUGUAGCAGGCGGCCGCCAGUGUAAGCGGUCGGUGAAGGCCUUUGAGAUGUACGACACAGACACACGCUCAUGGACGACGCUUCCAAUGCUGUCGUCUAAGUGCUCGUACGCGGGUGUGAUAUGGGACGCUGCUGGGAGGCUGUGUUUGCUGGGAGGCCUGCGGCAAGGAGGAGGACAUCAAAGCUCAAAGUUUACCAAGAAUGUCAGCAUUUUUGACACUCACCGAGAGGCCGCUACAGUGAAAACUCAUCGCUGUGGUAAAACGUCAACGCUGCACCAGUCCUGCCAUCACUUCAAGGAGUUGAUGCCAUCACGUCCAACAUCCAGCUACCCACCUGUUACCAGCCAGCUGACUCUGCUCACGUUGAUCUCCUGCGACCAGGCAAGAUUAAAAAGGGACAGUACACAUAACAAUUAAGAAAUAGGCGAAUGUUUCAAGGUACUGGCAUGUGUCUGUCUAGGAAAUGGUUUAAAAGGUGAAGCACUUCAACUGUAAAGUGUUCAUUUGUGAUAUUUUGGGGCACUGUUUAAAAGUCAUUUGGGUGGCCAUAAUUAGUAAUUGCUUGACAUAUGUAUCACUCUGUAGUAAAGGACAACUACAGCUUAUCAGUAUAGACUCAGGCAUAAGACACUUGAAGGCCGUAACGGACAUAAAACAGCUCAAAAACAAACAAAAUGUCAUUACCAUCUGAAAAGGCAGAUGCUUCAACAGACAUACAAACCAGGUCCAGUUCGCGUGAGAGAAGGCUAACAGAGAAAGGUCAAACAAUGCAUAGUCAAAACAUCAAAAAGCAUGAGAUGAUGUUUAAUAAGGAUUAUCAUUUUUGGAAAUUAGCAGCAAGGCUGACUAGGACAACAUUAAAAUCAGUCUGUUCAACACAAGAACUUAAUAAAUUGCAACAAGACAUUCAAGCAAAGCAUGAUACUUUAAGACUCCAGUAUGAAUCCAUUCUGCGUAAAGGUAACACCACGCCUGAAAUUGUCAACAAGAUGGAUGCUUGUAUCACACUAACAAAGGAAAUAAGUGACCUCAUCAGUAACCGGCUGAGGACUGUUGAUGAAGAUUACAAUGACCAGCUCGAGAAAGAAAGGGUGAGAGAAGUAUUAAACAAAAAUGAACACGGUUCCAUAUUUGGUCACACCAUAACUGAAACUUCGAGCUCGUCAAAGUCAUCAGAGAGAUCGAGCAGUCACUCCAGCUCAGAGAGCACCAACAACAGCAAAGCAGAUGCACAAGCGGAGCUCGCCGCUAAACUGGAACAAUCUAAGGCUGUGAAAGAAAUUCAAGCACAAAGGGCACAUCUUCAAAAGUUAGAAAAUGAAUGGAAACUUAAAGAGGCAAAAAUGUUGUCAGAGAUCAGACAAAAGGAGGUGCAAAUGAAACAACAGCUUGAGGAAGAGAGAGCAAAACUACAGCAGUUACAAGCAGAAAAGGAAGUCGCUGUAGCAGAAGCUCGUGUGAGAGCUUAUGACGACUUUGAAGGUUUUGAGAACCAGGAGGAAGAAUUGAGCAACAAUGUUAACUAUGCUUGCUUUAGAACGAAAUCUGAAGCCCAACUGAAUCCAAAUGCUGCAUCAUUCCAUCCUUACCAAGGAGCUCCUGAAGUAACAAUGACACAGGAGUCUGUUAGUUUGGCCCAAGCGAUUGCCAGCUCAUUAAGUAUGAGCCGAUUGCCAGUCCCAGAACCUACAACAUUCAGUGGUGACCCUUUAAGGUUUACAGACUGGAAAUUGACUUUCAUGACUCUUAUUGACCGAAAGUCCCUCCCAUCAAGUGAGAAGAUGUUUUAUCUCAAAAAUUAUCUUGCUGGAGAAGCGCAAAAGGCAGUACAAGGUUUCUUCUAUCGAGAUUCAGAGAGUGCAUACAAGGGAGCAUGGAAAGUCUUAGAGGACAGAUAUGGUAACCCGUUCAUCAUACAAAAAGCCUUCCGAGAUAAGCUUAUGAGAUGGCCAAAGAUCAACACAAAUGACCCAUUAGCACUGCGAGAGUUUGCCGACUUUCUCCAAAGCUGCACUGAAGCAAUCCCACAUGUCAAAGGGCUAGCUAUUCUUAACGACUGUGAAGAAAAUCACAAGAUGCUGAAAAAGCUACCAGAAUGGAUUGUACGCAAGUGGAGUCGAAUUGUUGUUGAUGAACUUGACAUGUCCGGAAGUUAUCCUGAUUUUGUGUGUUUCACAGAGUUCCUGAACAAAGAAGCCCGAAUAGCCUGCAACCCAAUUGCCUCUCCAAUGUUGAUGAAUUUCAAACCCACGGAUGAAAAGCUACCAAAGAGAGCCAAAGCUCUCAACACAAACACUCAAGCAAAAAGAGUCCUUCACGAGAAGCAGGAAGCAAACAGUACUAAGCCAAAAUUACCUUGUCCUGUCUGUAAAAACGAAACUCAUGGCAUUGCGCAGUGUCCCACUUUCACAGUAAAGAGUGCUGAAGAAAAAAAGGCGUUUAUCCAAGAAAAUCACCUCUGCUUUGGGUGCUUGAGAAAGGGUCAUGUGACAAAGGUUUGUAAGAGACGACACACGUGCAACAUAUGCAGCCGUCGUCAUCCAACUUGCUUGCAUGAAGACAGGAAGCAGAACCCUGUGGAUGAACUAACGAACAGCUCUACAUCCACAGAAGGAGAUGUAAGCCACGAAAUGCAUAAAGUUGUGUCCCAUACAUCAACACAACGUGCUCCUGCCACAUCAAGUAUAGUCCCAGUUUUUGUAUCUUCAGUACAAGAGCCACACAGAGAAGUAUUGACAUACGCAAUAUUAGACACACAGAGUGACUCAACGUUUGUCUUAGAAGAUGUACUCGACAAACUGAACGUGGAAGUUCGACCAGUAAAGCUGAAACUUAGCACGAUGACGGCUAUGGACACAGUAAUUUCUAGCAAAAGCGUUUGUGGUUUACAAGUUCGAGGUCUCAACUCAGAGGACCACAUUCAGCUACAGCAAGCCUACAGUCGUAACUUUAUCCCAGUAGACAAGUCUUACAUCCCCACAAAGGAAACAGCGAUAUCAUGGCCUCAUCUUAGACAUUUGGCAGAUAAAUUACCACUUCUCCAAGACUGUGAUGUAGGACUCCUGAUUGGAUAUGACUGUCCAUCAGCACUGGUCCCAUUUGAAGUUAUCAUAGGUGGCAAAAAUGAACCGUUUGCGCAGAGAGGGACACUCGGGUGGAGUAUAAUAGGCUCAUCAAACCCCCACCUAGACAGGCAAGGAAGCCACAGCUUUGUGCACCGGCUCACAGUGAAACAACUGCAGAUUCCAUCACCAGCAGACGUUUUAAAGUCCCUGGAAUCAGACUUUAUUGAGAGAACUUAUGAAGAAAAGUAUGUUUCGCAGAACGACGUUCAAUUCAUACAGCUUCUUAGCGACCACAUUACACAAAAGGAAGACGGACACUAUGAGAUGCCCCUCCCAUUCAAGGGCAACAGUCCACCCAACCUGCCAAACAAUAAGAGACUAGCCACAAUUCGCCUGCAGUGUCUUAAAAGGAAAUUAAAGGCUAACAAACAAUACUAUGAGCAAUACAAAACAUUCAUGGAAGAAACGAUAAAAAAGGGUGACGCAGAGCCUGCCCCUACAACAUCCGAGGGAGAGACAGUGUGGUACCUUCCACAUCAUGGCGUUUAUCACCCAAGAAAACCAGAGAAGCUCAGAGUUGUCUUUGACUGUGCAGCCAAAUUCCAUGGUCUUUCGCUGAAUGACACUCUGCUAACUGGACCCGAUUUGAUCAAUCCUCUGGUGGGAGUACUUUGCCGUUUUCGGAAAGAGGCCGUCGCCAUUAUCUGUGACAUCGAAAGAAUGUUUUAUCACUUUUCCGUCACUCCUGAAUUUCGGAAUUAUCUCAAAUUCCUAUGGUGGCAAGAUGGUGAUGUGGAUAAGGAAGUACAGGAGUACAGAAUGACCGUUCAUCUUUUCGGAGCUGCUUCGUCUCCGGGAUGCGCCAAUUUUGGCUUAAAACAUUUGGCACAUCAAUACAAAGCCGAUUAUCCAAUAGCAUCAACAUUUGUGGAGAAACAUUUUUAUGUGGACGACGGGCUCGUCAGUGUCCAAUCAGUAGCCGAUGCCAAGAAGCUAAUCACUGAGGCCCAAGAGUUGUGUAAAAGAGGAGGCCUUCACCUUCAUAAAUUCAACUCAAAUAAGGAAGCAGCCCUCACCCACUUGAACCCCUCAGAAAAGGCAGCAAACAUCGAGCAUCUAAGCUUUGACUCUGUUCCAUCAGAGCGGGCACUCGGAAUCCAAUGGUCGGUGAAAGAUGACACAUUUGGCUUUGACAUCAGUUUAAAGGAUCAGCCACCAACCCGUCGCAGUUGCUUGUCUGUCAUUGCCUCUCUUUAUGACCCGUUGGGAUUCAUUGCUCCAUUCAGCCUGAGUGGAAAACUUAUCCUUCAAGAGCUGUGCCAUAGAGGUACUGGAUGGGAUGAUCCACUCCCAGAUGAUAUGAAGCCACGGUGGGAGGAGUGGAUGAAGGGUCUUCAUAAGCUCAAAGAGGUCUCAAUCCCAAGAUGUUACCAUCCCCAUGACUUCCACAAUAUUGUCAGAGUAGAAUUACACCAUUUUUCGGAUGCCAGCUGUGUAGGGUAUGGUGUAUGUUCUUACCUCAGAUACCAAAAUGACAUGAAUGAGGUCCAUUGCAAUCUCGUCUUGGCGAAAGCUAGGGUCGCACCCUCGAAGGUCACGAGUAUCCCAAGACUUGAACUCAUGGCAGCAGUGGUGUCUACAAAGGUUAGCAUCAUGCUAAAAAGUGAACUUGACAUGAAGGUUGAUCAAGAAGUCUUCUGGACAGACUCUCGAGUUGUGCUAGGGUACAUAAACAACGAUGCCCGUAGGUUCCACAUAUUUGUAGCGAACCGUGUUCAGCUUAUUAGAGAUAACAGCAGUCCCAGUCAGUGGCAUUAUGUGGACACCUCAGAAAAUCCAGCUGAUCACGCGUCCCGAGGUCUCCGAGCUUCAGACCUUCACACAACCAACUGGCUGAAAGGACCAAAAUUCCUCUGGGAAAGUGAGUUACAUUUGACACCCACCGCUUCAACAGAAUUACUCGUCGGUGACCCUGAAGUCAAGGCAAUUCAGGUGCUUGCAACCAAAGUCAACCAGAGUAAUGACAUCCUCAGUCGUCUGAGUCGCUUUUCCUCUUGGAUAAGGCUUCUCAAGGUGGUCGCAAGAAUCAAGAGGCUGAAGUCUAGUCACAAACACAGUGACCAUGUGACUGUUGAGGAGCAUGAGAAGGCUGCGGAGGCAGUGAUAAAAAUUGUUCAGCAGCAGGCCUUCCCCCAUGAGUUUAAGGCGCUACAAAGCAAAAAUGUCCUUCCAAGUUCAAGCGCGCUUUUCAAUCUUGACCCUAUCUUGUCUGAAGGACUUAUAUGUGUUGGCGGGAGACUAAAAAACUCUUCUCUUGGUCACAAAGUCAAACACCCCACCAUUCUACCCAACAACAGUCACAUCACUAAGCUGAUUGUGUGUCAUUAUCAUGCCAAGACAAUGCAUCAAGGUCGAGGCCAGACUCAAAUGGAACUUAGGAGUAAUGGAUUCUGGGUUAUUGGUGGGAGUAAGCUGGUUGCGAAGUGCAUACAUACCUGUGUGCUUUGUCGCAAACUUCGUAGGCCGACAGAGAACCAGAAAAUGGCCGAACUUCCUAAAGAACGUGUUGAAGCUUCAGCACCCUUCACCUACAGUGGUAUGGACUGUUUCGGUCCAUUCAUUGUGAAGAAAGCCCGCAAAGAGAACAAAAAAUAUGGCUUGAUUUUCACAUGUUUGUACUCUAGAGCUGUGCACAUUGAAAUGCUCGAUGAUUUGUCGACGGACUCAUUCAUCAACGCAUUGAGAUGCUUUAUUAGCAUUAGAGGUGCUGUUCGACAACUGUACUGUGACCAAGGCUCUAAUUUUGUGGGUGCUAAAAACGAGUUUAAGGAAGCACUCAAACAAUGUGACAGCAAGUUACUUGAAAUAUUCCUCACUGAAAAGCAAUGUGAAUUUGUCUUCAAUGCCCCCUCCGCCAGUCACGCAGGUGGUGUCUGGGAAAGACAAAUAAGAACAGUCAGAAAGGUGUUGAACGCAACCUUUGCUCAAUGCCCAGGUCGGCUGGACGACGCCUCCCUUCGAACAAUGCUGUAUGAGGCCAUGGCUAUUGUUAAUAGCCGCCCAUUAACAGUGGACGGAAUCAAUGACCCUCAGGCACUAGAACCCAUAACACCAAACCACCUCAUAAUGAUGAAGUCCAAAGUUGCUCUUCCUCCUCCCGGUGUGUUUGUGAAGGAAGAUCUAUAUGCAACCAAGAGGUGGAGGAGAGUACAGUACCUAAUUGAACAAUUCUGGAGUCGCUGGAGAAAAGAGUACCUUCUGAAUAUAUCUACAAGACAAAAGUGGCACCUACCUCAGCGCAACCUCAAAGUGAACGACAUUGUCAUCAUCAAAGAUGACAACCUCCCAAGAUGUCAUUGGCAACUAGGUCUAGUGGUUGAAGUCGUUCAGGGUAGCGAUGGCUUAGUUCGCCGAGCCAAAGUGCGUGUAGGUGAGCGAAACCACCAGAGAAAACAAGGUCCUCCUUUCAAGCAUUCAGUUAUUGAGAGACCAGUCCAAAAAUUAGUGCUUCUUCUUGAGAAUUGAUUAGAAUAAGCUAACAAUGGCAAUGUGCACGCAGAUUAUCGUGUAUGAAGAUGUACGGUCAUACCUCUGAUUGUAUCUUGCAGCCAUUCAUUUAUUGGAGACAAGAAAUCCUAUGCAAUUCAUUUACGCCUUGUAUUUUUGUUCAUUCAUUGUCAUAGGAUUUGGUGGGAGUGUAAAUGACAUGUUUACGUUCUUUAUGCUCAGUUAUUCACUCAUUUAUUUUGAAGAAUGUAGUCCUGCCACCGGAUGUUGGCAUGCUCUUAUUUUGGCGGAACGUUUUUUCUUUUCCUGUGUCAAAAGGUUAACUUCGCUAAUGGUGAUUGCAACCCCACGCAAAAAGUGCUCACAUAUUUUCUCAGUUUCAACCUGGCUGGUGGUAGGCUAAUGUGGAAGACUACCUCGUGUUUAAGCUAGCGCCCUUGGAAGGCAAAAUGAGGUGCAAGAACUGAGCCGGAAGAAUAAAGGCACCCGUUUGAAACUCCACGUCUGACUAAUUCAUUCCAAGAGGCCGCUACAGAGUGAAUAACAAAGAGGUGGUCGAUCAGUAAUCACUUUAUUGAAACAAACAACCGCUCCAAAACAAGCAUAUCCUCACACUAUCAGAAAGUAGAAAUUUUGAGCAGGAAACCACAAGGGUGCAUUAUAUUGGUAUGCUCCACUGCGUGCGGGGAACCGGGAUAGAAGGCGUGUAUUUAUUCGUCUGCACUAAAAGUGAGACAUUUUCUCAAAAUCUGACCAUACUAACUGCUAUUUUUUCAGCCUGGAUUAUUGGGUCAUGUCCUGUCAUGUGCGCAACCUCAAAGGAGCAAGCAACUGUGUGUUGCUGGAGAUGAAAUUCUCCACAACCUUUCUCCAAGGUGAAAAGGACCACUUUAGAAAAUGAAUGAAGUCAAUUUCACCUCCCAUACGAUGGGAAGGAAAGAAGACUCACACGCUGAUAUUAGAUUUACGAAAUGUAUUGAAAAAUAGGUCAGACAGAAUAACGCUUCGGACUGUGUCUCUUCCCAUGGACUCCUGCAGCCUCUUCGCCGAAGGAAGAGAGACAGGUCCCGAUCGAUAGUCGCCUCUGCCUUUUUGUAAUUGUUUUCCUCAGACCAUUGGUGCCAGUCUUAUUUUCCUGCUUCAGGAGCGUGGCUGAAGUCAGAUGAGACGGUCGCCUUGAAGACAAAGAGAGCCGACUUUGCUGCUGCGGUGCUGCGGGACCGCAUGGUGGUAGCAGGAGGACUUGGUCAUCAGCCGUCUGCGCUGGACACAGUGGAGGCUUUUCAUCCCCAGAGG